GACGAACGCUGGCGGCGUGCUUAACACAUGCAAGUCGAACGGAAAGGCCCUGCUUUUGUUGGGUGCUCGAGUUGCGAACGGGUGAGUAACACGUGAGUCACCUGCCCUUGACUUUGGGAUAUCUUCAGGAAACUGGGGCUAAUACGGGAUAUGAGCUCUUGCUGCAUGGUGUGGGUUGGAAAGUUUCGGCGGUUGGGGAUGGACUCGCGGCUUAUCAGCUUGUUGGUGGGGUAGUGGCUUACCAAGGCUUUGACGGGUAGCCGGCCUGAGAGGGUGACCGGCCACAUUGGGACUGAGAUACGGCCCAGACUCCUACGGGAGGCAGCAGUGGGGAAUAUUGCACAAUGGGCGGAAGCCUGAUGCAGCAACGCCGCGUGCGGGAUGACGGCCUUCGGGUUGUAAACCGCUUUCGCCUGUGACGAAGCGUGAGUGACGGUAAUGGGUAAAGAAGCACCGGCUAACUACGUG
rnacentral:rRNA from 1 species